UACGUAGGGACCAAGCGUUGUUCGGAUUUACUGGGCGUAAAGGGCGCGUAGGCGGCGCGGUAAGUCACUUGUGAAAUCUCUGAGCUUAACUCAGAACGGCCAAGUGAUACUGCAGUGCUAGAGUGUGGAAGGGGCGAUCGGAAUUCUGGGUGUAGCGGUGAAAUGCGUAGAUAUCAAGAGGAACACCUGAGGUGAAGACGGGUUGCUGGGCCAACACUGACGCUGAGGCGCGAAAGCCAGGGGAGCAAACGGG
rnacentral:rRNA from 1 species